rnacentral:lncRNA from 1 species
AGAGCUGUACUUUCAACAAGAAGUACGACAACACUUCACUCCGUGCGUUUUACGAAGGAAACCUACGUUCUUAUGGCAUUAGUGUUUGCAAUCGAUGGUAUUUCACAUUUGAUGGCGCAGAAUGUGCAAAACCAGCAACUAUUGAAGGCAUUAUUUACGUUCCUUCGAAAACAGUCAACCCCCAUCGUCCCCGCCAUAUUGAAGGCUACUGUAACCAGGUUCCUAAAGGUCAUGUACGUGUGGGAUUCUGGAUUGGCAAGUGUGAGAGUUAUGGUCUUGGAGAUGGUCACACUGGUUGGAAUUCCGUGUCUCGUAUUGUGAUUGAAGAAGUACCGGCACCUCAAGAGUAAAUGAAAGUUCAACUACCGUAUUACUAAGACUAAAUAACCUAAGUAUAAACUACCAUACUACUUUUGUAUCAGUAUUAUAAUUAUACAGUAUCUACACCAAUAUGUAAACGAGAAAUAAUCACAGGUUAAAGUAUAAGUAUGAGUACAUGUAUGUAUACCCUGUACCAUAUUUAAUGAUUUAUUUUUUCUCACGUUUUUAGUUCCUGUUAUUGAUGUAGUUAACUUAGUUUCGAAUAUAGUUACAUAUUUGUUCAGUCACGUAGUUUCUUUUAAUUUUCCUACAGUGUUUUCUAUCAGUAUUACACCUAUAUAUAUUAUACAAUUCUAUUUUAUCACGAUCCUUAUGAAGGGCCCUUUACUUCAUG